GCAAAAUCAGCUAAUGGAGGAAAGCCCAGGGGGCCUCAACACUACAGAAGGAACCGAGGGCAACAAAGGAAUGCUGAGAGCAGGAGAAAGUCUGCCCUGGAGAAGAGCGCAUCAGUUAGUUACCCAACACUUGAUGAUCAGUCCUGAAAACAUACAGAGAAUAACAUUCUACAGACCGAACAGGCCUCUCCAUUGUUCCUCUGAACAGGCACUUUCUUAAGCUGUUCGUUCAGAUGCGUACAAAGCAAAGCCUCACUGUUCUUGGAACCUAGACAUCCUGAGGCAUGACUGACAGGAACCAUGGGAGACUCAACUAUUUGGUUUACUCCACAGCAACAUCUUGGGAUCGAUUUUCUACUUUGGAAAAAGAAUGGCGGAGCUAAGCAAUGACAUUCUUGGAUUCUGAGUUCCUCUCAAUAGGGUUUGGCAAGUUUUCCGUGAGUGGGAAUGAAUCUACUACCGUUACUAAACAAGGAUUUGAGUGUAGUUCUGGAAAAUAUUUUUUUCUAUUGGGUUCCUGACAGCUACUGCUGCUUACCCAACUUUGUGAAAAUGUGUAUUCUAUCUUAUAAUUCACACAUAGUCUCACGCUUUACUGGGAGGUCACUAGUUUUCAGCUAGACUGGCAGCCAGCAACAUCCAGUGAUCCUACUUUCUUGAAGCCCUCUGCCAGAGCUGGAGUUAUAUACUUGCAGCCAUGCCUAGGAUUUUUAAAAAAUUCCUUUAUAUUUUUGAGAUUAUAGGUACAUCAUUUUCCCCUUCUCUUUCCUCUCUUGAAACUCUCCCUUAUACCUCUCUACCUAUCCUCUUUGAAAUUCAUGACCUCCUUUUCACUAAUUGUUACAAAAGGUCAGUUCAUCUGAACUCAGAGUCCCACACUUGUGCAACCAGUGUGUUACUUGUUAUACACUGAGCCAGCUCCCCAGCAUACAGGCAUUUCUUGAAUGGCUACUAUGUAUCAGGUAUGGAUUAGGCUAAACUUUGAAUGUAGACAACAAAACGAUCAGAAGGUAUACCGCUAAGAACAUCACAGAACGAUAAGAAAGGCAGCCACUGGAAAGACCGACUCAGCAGCAUGUCAGCAUUGCUCUGAGUAUGGCGUGGGCUUUGGAGGAAAGAUUGCAUCAUUUUGUGAAUCAGAGGGGAAGUGAACUUAUCUAGGUGGUUAUCUUUGGAUAUGGCAGAAAAUGUAAUAAUUAAUCUUAAAAUGAGUCAAACGGAGGAUCAUAUUUAUUCCAAGAAAAGGGAGUAAAGUGCAAAGAGGUGGAGGGUUGAGGGUCCCUAACCAGAGCAAGUUUAGCACAUUCAUUAGCUAAACAAAACAGCGUGGGACAGAGUGUUGAGAACCUA
rnacentral:lncRNA from 1 species